UCGAACGAGAAAGGGGGGCAACCCCCGAGUACAGUGGCGCACGGGUGAGUAACACGUGGGUAAUCUGCCUCUGGGUGGGGAAUAACUCUGGGAAACCGGAGCUAAUACCGCAUAAGCCUGAAAGGGGAAAGGCGCAAGUCGCCGAGAGAGGAGCCCGCGGCUGAUUAGCUGGAUGGUGGGGUAAAGGCUCACCAUGGCGGAGAUCAGUAGCCGGCCUGAGAGGGCACACGGCCACACUGGCACUGAAACACGGGCCAGACCCCUACGGGAGGCAGCAGUGGGGAAUCUUGCACAAUGGGGGAAACCCUGAUGCAGCGACGCCGCGUGAGCGAUGAAGCCCUUCGGGGUGUAAAGCUCUUUCGGCAGGGACGAUGAUGACGGUACCUGAAGAAGAAGCUGCGGCUAACUACGUGCCAGCAGCCGCGGUAAUACGUAGGCAGCGAGCGUUG
rnacentral:rRNA from 1 species